CAAUAUGAGGGUGAUCUGGCUGCAAUAUCUGUCACCCCAUUGAUCACGAGGGUUGAUUCAGCUGGGCGUGCUGAUUAGGUAGAUGUCCCCUUUCUCCCUCACCACUCCAUGGGAAUCCCUCCCAAAGCAAAACUCUUAGUCAAAGAUGACCUUCCCUGAACAGUCAGACUAGUCUUCAGUCUAGAAUAUGUGAGUGAGUAGCUACAGUCUCCAACCAAAACCUCCAGACAAUCUCUCAAGGUUCUAGUACCUGACAUAUGCAAACAUUCAAUAAAAAGCUCCUAAAAGAAUAUAGAGAUGUUC
ensembl:misc_RNA 7SK 7SK RNA